UACGGAGGGGGCUAGCGUUGUUCGGAAUACUGGGCGUAAAGCGCGCGUAGGCGGACCUGCGAAGUCGGGGGUGGAAAGCCCGAGGCUCAACCUCGGAACUGCCUUCGAUACUGCGGGUCUCGAGGUCCGGGAGAGGUGAGUGGAAUUCCUAGUGUAGAGGUGAAAUUCGUAGAUAUUAGGAAGAACACCAGUGGCGAAGGCGGCUCACUGGCCCGGUACUGACGCUGAGGCGCGAAAGGCGUGGGGAGCAAACAGG
rnacentral:rRNA from 1 species